AUGCCACUCACGGACUUUUGUGACAUAUGCUUGAUUCCCUACGAUGGGGAAUUAAGAGAGCCUAGACCCGCAGAGUUUGAGGAGUUUUACCUCGCCCUGACAGUGGGUGAUUACAGAGGCGUGUCAAAAUCCACCGCCACUAGUUUGCAGUUUUCUUCUGUGCACUACUUUGCUUUAUUUGUCACGAAGUGUUUAACUGACAGGGAGAAGGUCGGUGCACUCAGUGCUCCCGACCUCACCAUUUUACGCCGUGCACUAUACGAUGAUCACACUUUUAGCCAAGGGGCUAUUAUUGCACAUCGUAUGCACCUCAACAGAACUAAGUACAAAAUUCAUGGUGGUAUUUAUGCCACUCGCCUAGUGAGUCAUUUAAUGUUCAGAUACGCCAACAUGAUUAUCCUUUGUCCUGAGUUUAUGUAG
rnacentral:rRNA from 1 species